rnacentral:rRNA from 1 species
UGGGGAAUUUUGGACAAUGGGCGAAAGCCUGAUCCAGCAAUGCCGCGUGUGUGAAGAAGGCCUUCGGGUUGUAAAGCACUUUUGUCCGGAAAGAAAUCCUCUGGGUUAAUACCUCGGGGGGAUGACGGUACCGGAAGAAUAAGCACCGGCUAACUACGUGCCAGCAGCCGCGGUAAUACGUAGGGUGCAAGCGUUAAUCGGAAUUACUGGGCGUAAAGCGUGCGCAGGCGGUUUUGUAAGACGGAUGUGAAAUCCCCGGGCUUAACCUGGGAACUGCAUUCGUGACUGCAAGGCUAGAGUAUGGCAGAGGGGGGUAGAAUUCCACGUGUGGGCAGUGAAAUGCGUAGAGAUGUGGAGGAAUACCGAUGGCGAAGGCAGCCCCCUGGGCCAAUACUGACGCUCAUGCACGAAAGCGUGGGGAGCAAACAGGAUUAGAUACCCUGGUAGUCCACGCCCUAAACGAUGUCAACUAGUUGUUGGGGAUUCAUUUCCUUAGUAACGUAGCUAACGCGUGAAGUUGACCGCCUGGGGAGUACGGUCGCAAGAUUAAAACUCAAAGGAAUUGACGGGGUCAUAGCUG